AGAAUUGUAGUUAAAUAUAACAUCUGGGUUGCAUUCAGAAAGUACUAUAAAGUCUAUUUUU
rnacentral:tRNA from 1 species